ACUCUGAGCUUUUCCUCUGGGAACAGAUCCCAGAUUAUUCCAGACUUAAGACAUGGAGAUAUAUCUUGCUAGAGUGUAAGAUGAAAGAGGACCUGCCCUCCAUUCUAUCUACUCCCUCUCUGCAAAGGCCAUUUUGAAGAUCUCAGUUUUACUGAAAGGGGUCUGCCACACAUAACUUCCCUGGUGUACCAGCAACAAGUGUUCAGUGGACCAUGGCAACACAAAGAAUGACGGAGGAGAGAAAAUGCCAUGCAGAAGUGAUAGUCAAGAUGAAGAUGUGGGAGAGGAGCAGCCCCCAGUAUAUAUUCAGUGUGUCCUCUGAAGUAACAACCAUCCCAUCUGGCUGAGAAGUGAUGGACACGGCUCCUUAACCACACUGUACCCUCUGUUCUUGGCACCUCUCUACCAGAAAGAUAUCAACAAAUUGGAUGGAAUUCAGAGAACAGUAAGAAAAAUGAUUAAAGAGAUGGAGGCAGUGACUUAUGAGGAAAGAUGAAAAGGACUAAAUCUAUGUAGCUUGGCAAAGCAACAACUGAGGUGGCGUAUGAAAACUGUCUACAAGCAUUUGAAGAAUAUAAACACCAAGGGAAGAGAGGGAACUUUUUAGAAUGGUCUGGGGAAUAAGCAGAGUAAGAGGACAGAAUUGAAGAAAGGAGAGAGAUAUGCUAAGUUGGGGGUGGGGGCGUUUUCUCAUCAAUUGUAAAUUUUGAUAAAUAACAAAAUUAAGUCUGGAGAGAAA
ensembl:lncRNA TUSC7 tumor suppressor candidate 7